UUUUUGGAGAGUUUGAUCCUGGCUCAGGACGAACGCUGGCGGCGUGCCUAACACAUGCAAGUCGAACGGAGAAUUUGAUAAGUUCACUUAGAGAAUUCUUAGUGGCGGACGGGUGAGUAACGCGUGGGUAACCUACCCA
rnacentral:rRNA from 1 species